UACGUAGGGUCCGAGCGUUGUCCGGAAUUACUGGGCGUAAAGAGCUUGUAGGCGGUUUGUCGCGUCUGCUGUGAAAUUUCGGGGCUCAACCCCGAACUUGCAGUGGGUACGGGCAGACUAGAGUGUGGUAGGGGAGACUGGAAUUCCUGGUGUAGCGGUGAAAUGCGCAGAUAUCAGGAGGAACACCGAUGGCGAAGGCAGGUCUCUGGGCCACUACUGACGCUGAGAAGCGAAAGCAUGGGGAGCGAACAGG
rnacentral:rRNA from 1 species